rnacentral:rRNA from 1 species
GAUGAACGCUGGCGGCGUGCCUAAUACAUGCAAGUCGAGCGAACAGACGAGGAGCUUGCUCCUCUGACGUUAGCGGCGGACGGGUGAGUAACACGUGGAUAACCUACCUAUAAGACUGGGAUAACUUCGGGAAACCGGAGCUAAUACCGGAUAAUAUAUUGAACCGCAUGGUUCAAUAGUGAAAGACGGUUUUGCUGUCACUUAUAGAUGGAUCCGCGCCGCAUUAGCUAGUUGGUAAGGUAACGGCUUACCAAGGCAACGAUGCGUAGCCGACCUGAGAGGGGGAUCGGCCGCACUGGAACUGAGACACGGUCCAGACUCCUACGGGAGGCAGCAGUAGGGAAUCUUCCGCAAUGGGCGAAAGCCUGACGGAGCAACGCCGCGUGAGUGAUGAAGGUCUUCGGAUCGUAAAACUCUGUUAUUAGGGAAGAACAAAUGUGUAAGUAACUAUGCACGUCUUGACGGUACCUAAUCAGAAAGCCACGGCUAACUACGUG